GACGUAGGGGGCCAGCGUUGCUCGGAAUUACUGGGCGUAAAGGGUCCGUAGGCGGUGCGGUAAGUCGGGAGUGAAAUCUCUGGGCUUAACUCAGAGGACUGCUUCCGAAACUACCGUGCUAGAGUGCGAGAGAAGGCAAGUGGGAAUUGCGGGUGUAGCGGUGAAAUGCGUAGAUAUCCGCAGGAACAUCCGAGGCGAAAGCGGCU
rnacentral:rRNA from 1 species